rnacentral:rRNA from 1 species
UACGUAGGGUGCAAGCGUUAUCCGGAAUUAUUGGGCGUAAAGAGCUCGUAGGCGGCGCGGAUAGUCGGCGGUGAAAGCCCGGAGCUCAACUCCGGGUCGGCCGUCGAUACUUCCGGGCUUGAGCACUGUAGAGGCAGAAGGAAUUCCGGGUGUAGCGGUGGAAUGCGUAGAGAUCCGGAAGAACACCGGUGGCGAAGGCGGUCUGCUGGGCAGUUGCUGACGCUGAUGCGCGACAGCGUGGGGAGCAAACAGG